rnacentral:rRNA from 1 species
CGGACGGGUGAGUAACGCGUGGGUAACCUGCCUUGCACUGGGGAGUAACACUUAGAAAUAGGUGCUAAUACCGCAUAAGCGCACGGUCCUGGCAUGGGACAGUGUGAAAAACUCCGGUGGUGCAAGAUGGACCCGCGUCUGAUUAGCUGGUUGGCGGGGUAAAGGCCCACCAAGGCGACGAUCAGUAGCCGGCCUGAGAGGGUGGACGGCCACAUUGGGACUGAGACACGGCCCAAACUCCUACGGGAGGCAGCAG